UGCGUGAAAUGGAAUGCAUAUAACUGUUGUGUAACGGUUAGAUAACAUGUUAUAUUGCUGAGUCGGAAAUUGUAACUUACAUACGAGUUACGUGUAACUUCAGAGUAAUGUAACUUGUUAUAUUCGGUUACAUUGCUGUUACAUUGCUACUAUAUUACUGUGUUCACUGGGAUCUCGCGCAAAGGAAAAAGUACGAGGCUCUUGCUACAUUUUAUUUAGAGAUUUCUCGAACAAACGCAGGAAGAAGAGAACGCACGUUUGAAUUUCCAUGGACAAAGAAUUAUUUAAAGAACGGGAGAUAAAAAACCUUGCGUCUUUCUUUCAAAGUCUUCUUCAAGAGAAAUGCGGAACAUCGCUGCCGAAAUGUCACGACUUCAUGUCACGAUCUAUAAUCCAUUAUCGAUUAGCGGACACCGAACGAUCAGAAAUCUGACUGCCGGAAUUCCGACUUACGCAACAUAGAUAUCUGAAUAGUAUCUGUGGACAUUCGAUGUCUAACAUGAUUUCCAGUUCGCUUAUUGAUAAGGUUGAUAUUGGUAAUCUGAACAUUAUGAUGUUUAACGAAGAAGAGAGAAAGGAAUUUUUGCGAAGAAACAAAAAUUAGAAAUUAUAUUAUUGCCUGAAUAAAUGGACCAAUUAAUGACAA